rnacentral:rRNA from 1 species
GACGAACGCUGGCGGCGUGCUUAACACAUGCAAGUCGAGCGGUAAGGCCCUUUCGGGGGUACACGAGCGGCGAACGGGUGAGUAACACGUGGGUGACCUGCCCUCAGCUCUGGGAUAAGCCUGGGAAACCGGGUCUAAUACUGGAUAUGACUCCAUGACGCAUGUUGUGGGGUGGAAAGCCUUGUGCGGCUGAGGAUGGGCCCGCGGCCUAUCAGCUUGUU